rnacentral:rRNA from 1 species
GACGAACGCUGGCGGCGUGCUUAACACAUGCAAGUCGAACGGACAGGCCCUGCUUUUGUGGGGUGCUCGAGUGGCGAACGGGUGAGUAUCACGUGAGUAAACUGCCCUUGACUUUGGGAUAAAUUCAGGAAACUGGGGAUAAUAUCGGAUAGGAGCUCCUGCUGCAUGGUGGGGGUUGGAAAGUUUCGGCGGUUGGGGAUGGUUUCGCGGCUUAUCCGCUUGUUGGUGAGGUAGUGGCUUACCAAGCUUGUGACGGGUAGCCGGCCUGAGAGGGUGACCGGCCACAUGGGGACUGAGGUACGCAGCAGACGCCAACGGGAGGCAGCAGGGGGAAAGAUUGCACAGUGAGCGGAAGCCUGAUGCAACAGCGCCGCGUUCGGAAUGACGUCCUUCGAGGUAUAAACCGCUGUCGCCGGUGACGAAGCGUGAGUGACGGUAAUUGGUAAAGAAGCACCGGCUAACUACGUG